rnacentral:lncRNA from 1 species
GGUACUUUUUCUUUCGUUACAAUUCAACACUUAAAAUCCAUGUAACCAUUAUUGAACAAAAAAAAGAAAGUAAAAUGAAAUGGUACAAAGAGAAUGAAGAAUGAAAGAGAGAGUAAUAGGUGUUUGAACCUGAUUUGAAAAGAAGAAGUAACUGAAGAAGCCAUUGUUAGAAGCCACAAGGCUUUUGCGAAAGUGGGAAAAUUUCUUAUCCAACGAAGAUAAAUUCUGUUAUCUACUUCUGCUAUGAGUUUAAUUGUUGUGCACCGUCGGUGUAAAUUUUUUUUACACAUGCAUUCAAUAACACGUUGCCACAUCAUUUAAUGAAUGUGACACAUCAUGUGUUUUUAAUUAUCAUACAUGAUGUGUCGGAAUAUUAUUGGUUGCAUGUGCAAAAUAACUUUACACCGACGGUGCAUAUAAAUUAAAUUCUUCUGCUAUAUGCUACGGUGGUGUGUGUAUCAUUGUAAACUAAAUGGGUAACUACCGAGUUGGUUGGAUUUUGUAUUUUGUUUUUACCGUCAAACUUCAAAGCAAAUGAAA